rnacentral:rRNA from 1 species
GACGAACGCUGGCGGCGUGCUUAACACAUGCAAGUCGAACGGAAAGGCCUGCUUUCUCUUGUGGAUUGCGGGUACUCGAGUGGCGAACGGGUGAGUAACACGUGAGUGAUCUGCCCCCAACUUGGGUAUAAGCCUGGGAAACUGGGUCUAAUUCCCGAUAGGACUGCAGGGUGGUGCCUGUGGUGGAAAACGAUUUUCUAGUGGUUGGGGAUGAGCUCGCGGCCUAUCAGCUUGUUGGUGGGGUAAUGGCCUACCAAGGCGGCGACGGGUAGCCGGCCUGGGAGGGUGGACGGCCACAUUGGGACUGAGAUACGGCCCAGACUCCUACGGGAGGCAGCAGUGGGGAAUAUUGCACAAGGGGCGGAAGCCUGAUGCAGCGACGCCGCGUGGGGGAUGACGGCCUUCGGGUUGUAAACUCCUUUCGACCGCGAGGAAGCCACCUGGUUGGAAGGGUGGUGACGGUAGUGGUAGAAGAAGCACCGGCUAACUACGUG